UUCCAGCAGGGAAAAGCAUGCAAUACGUCCUGAAAAGCAAUACAUCUGUCCUGAAAACCCAACUCCUCAGCCCGCCCUCUUGUCACACGCACAGCAAGCACUUCCAUCCACACCAGACCUGCACAACAAGGAAGCAGAUAGGUAAGAGUGGUUAAGCUUGAGAGCUCGCCGUCAUGGAUCUGAUGACAGGGGGCAUGGGCAACCUCGCCCCCAAGCUGCUACAGCUGCUUCAAGAUGAGUACAAGCUGUAGAAGGGAGUCAAGGAGCAAAUCCGGUCUCUCUCACUGGAGCUGGAGAGCGUCCACACCUUGCUCCGCAAGGUGGCACAAGUUCCGUGGGACCAGAUCGACGAGCAGGUCAAGGUUUGGACACGGGAGGUCAGGGAGGCAUCCUACGACAUGGAGGAUCUCCUCGACACCUUCCUCGCGCGUGUCGAGGGCCGCGAGCCCGCCGACCCGAGCAGGCUCAAACGCGCCAUGAACAAGAUGGGCAACCUCUUCAGCAGCACCAAGGCUCGCCGUGACAUUGCUGGCGCCAUCGAAGGCAUCAAGAAGCAGCUCCAGGAGGUGGCUGAGCGUCAUGCCAGGUACAAAGUUGACAAGGCGCUGGCCAAGCCCGCCGCAACGACGUCGACCAUCAAUCCUCGCCUUGCAGCUAUGUACAAAGAAGUGACACAGCUCAUCGGCAUCAAUGAAUCAAUGGACAAGGUCAUAUCCAUGCUGACGUCGUCAUCCCAAGAGGAUGGCGUGUCCGACAACAAGAUCAUGAAGAUGGUUUCAAUUGCCGGAGUUGGAGGAUUGGGCAAGACCACUCUUGCUAAAGCAUCAUAUGACAAGAUUAAAUCACACUAUUAUUUCAAGGCAUUCGUUUCAGUUGGCCGGAAUCCUGACUUGGCGAAAGUUUUGAAGGACAUUCUCUUUGAUCUUGACAAAAAACAGUAUGAGAACAUCCAUAACACUGGAAGAGGUGCAGAUCUGCUCAUCCGUGAACUCCGAGAAUUCCUUGAGAACAAGAGGUAUUUCCUUGUUAUUCAUGAUAUAUGGGAGCCACGAUCUUGGGAAAUAAUCAAAUUGGCUCUUAUUGAGAAUAACUGUGGAAGUGCAAUAAUUACAACUACUCGUAAAUUUGAUGUUGCCAUAGAAGCCGGUGAGGUUUACAAGCUACAACCGCUUUCAUAUGACAACUCCAAAAAGUUAUUCUACACAAGGAUAUUUGGUUCUCAAGGAAAAUGUCUUGAUAACAAAAUGGAUGAGUUAUCUGACAACUUUCUAAAGAAAUGUGAUGGUGUACCGUUAGCUAUCAUCACAAUGGCUACUUUGUUGGUGGGUAAACCAAUGGAGGAAUGGUCUGUGGUGUACAGCUCUAUUGGUUUUGGCCAUAAAGAUAACCGGCAUGUAGAGAAUACUAGGAGGAUAUUGUCUUAUAGCUACUAUGACCUGCCUCCUCAUCUAAGGACUUGCUUAUUGUACCCAAAUGUGUUCCCUGAAGAUUAAUUAAUUGAAAAAAUCGUCUGAUAAGUAUGUGGGUAGCCGAAGGUUUUAUCCAUGAGAAGCAACGGGCAAGUUCAUUAUUUGAGAUCGGAGAGGAAUACUUUAAUGAUCUCAUUAAUAGAAGCAUGAUUCAAGGAGAGGGGUCCAAAGGUAUCAUGUAUGGCAGCAUAGUCGGUUGCCGUGUUCAUGAUAUGAUACUUGAUCUUAUCCGUUCUUUAUCACGUGAAGAAAACUUUGUCACCAUAGCAAGUAAUGAUGAAGGCACAGUGGACACCAACGAAAGCAAAUUGUCACAAAAAAAGCAUACGCAGGUUAGCCUACCAAGAUAGAACCUCGUGGGAGUAGGCUAAACAUGCGGGCAUGCCUACAGUGAGGUCAUUUGUUGCCUUUAAUUGUCGUUCUGAUAAGUCACUUUCACUUUUGGGCUUUAAACUUAUACAUGUGCUUGCUCUGGAGUUAUGCGGAUGUAUCAAACUUGAGCAUCUUGGUUAUUUACUUCAUUUGAGGUAUCUCAGCUUAAGACGUUCAAGAAUUGAUGAUGAGUUCUUAAAAGGAGUAGGAGCUCUAAAGUUUCUGCAAACAUUAGACUUGACAAAUACUACUCACACGAGACUCCGUUUGUCUACCUUGGACCAUCUCACACAGUUGGUAUGCCUACGUGCCACCGAUUUGAUAGUAGGGGCAGACUGGGUUGGGAAGCUGAUGUCCCUGGAGGAGUUGGAUGUGUUACUCUAUGUCCAUGUCCAUGACAGGGAUGUGAGGCAGUUUGUAAAGGAAUUGGGCAGACUGAGAGAACUUAGGGUAUUCAGGAUGGUUCUUGGUGGGUAUGAUGAUAGAAUGGAUGAGAGCAUGCAGACAGAUUUGGUAGAGUCUCUAUGCAAUCUGCAAAAGAUCCAGCAUCUCAGAUUUAUUUUCAGAAUGGAUGUUGAUACAGCCAAGUGGGAAGCAGCGGGCUUUGUGCUCUCGCCCCAUUUGCGAGUUUUGUCUAUGCCCAACAUCAAGUUCUCUACGCUGCCCUCUUGCAUUAACCCCUCGCGUCUUCCCAACAUCACUACCUUGUACCUGAAUGUGGAUGCUAUGGAUGAGCAGGACCUAGAAUCCCUUGGUAGGUUGCCAGAGCUCCUUGAUCUCAGCCUAACAAUAUACUCCACAGUAACAAUAAGCAAUAUUGCUGGUAACGGCUACUUCCAGAAGUUGAGAUGCCUCGAUAUGUUCAAUUCAAUGCUCAAGUUUCUGCCCAGCAAAGAGGACUCGAGUGUUUCACUUCAUAUCUCGAAUGGAAGAGAUGAUAUUCCCUUUGGUUAUGAGAAGACGGAUGAGCGCAGAGCAGCACCGACCGUGAUGCCCAGCCUGGAAAAAAUCUCAUCUACAAUAUUUGUGUGGGCCUUCAAGGAUGGCAGCUAUGGCUGUGACACUCUUGGCUUGGAACAUCCGCCUUCCCUUCAUACAGCUCAAUUCUUUAUGCAGUACGAUGAGUACGAUGGCAAAUCUGAUGCGGAGGUAGACGAAGCGGAGGCUGCGCUGAGGAACGCGAUUCAAGCCGUCCAUCCCAAGACUCCCACCCUUGAAAUCAUCGGUCGCUCACGCUACAAGAAUAGAAACCAGAUGUUUAAGUGAAGAAGUGAUGGAUGAGGAAAAUCUCUCACCUGUCCAAGAUCAAGAGGUUCCAAAUUCUAGCAGGAUCCACCGAUGAAGAAGGCCAGCCACGGAGACGCAACACCAGAAAUUUCAAUUUGAAUCAUAAUAGCAUCGCUCAGUCAUAUGUGAUUGUGACUCCAAGUUUUUCACAGCUCAUUAUUGUCGGGGUCCAUACUCAGCACACAGAGCUUGAGCAACACAAAGAGCUUCAGUUGAUUUCGCCGUCGAUCUAAAAUUUCGUUCCCUAGGGUGUAAGCUGGUCAAAUGUGGUGAUGGUGGUGACAAAGAGCUAUAGGAAUGCUGAGGAGAUAGGGAAUUGUGGCAGGCGGUGGAGACGUGCAAUCUGGCUAUCUGCAAACUGGGAGUCAUGAUUUAGUAGUGCCUAAAACUUGGAUGGGUGACUGUGUGACGACAGGCAUGGUUUUACAGAGGAUGCAGCCUCACUGCCUCACUUGAUGACGGACAACGCAAGAAGAAACAGAGAGCAAAAUAAAUUGCGUUUUUCUGAUGAAAACCGGGACUUCACAUUUGGUCGUCCAUCAGAAUUCAAGUUGUCUACUUCAUUUCGUGAAUAUUCAGGGUUAGUUCGGAGCUCAUAAUGUGACAGUAAAGGCAGCAUAUAUAGGUCAUCCCUAUGAGCAUAAGAUAGCUUCUCUGUUAGUAAUGUUUUGUUCUCUGCUUAUGUACUUAGAAAAAUUUAUGUACUUAGAAAAAAUCAAAACAACCUAUAAUUUGAAAUGGAGAGAGUAUAACCUAGAGAGUAGGAUUCAUUGUU